UGGUACUUUUUCAACACGUAUAAAGCUGCCU
rnacentral:piRNA from 1 species